rnacentral:rRNA from 1 species
GGCAGAUAUGGGCGAGCCUGAUCCAGCCAUGCCGCGUGUGUGAAGAAGGUCUUCGGAUUGUAAAGCACUUUAAGUUGGGAGGAAGGGCAUUAACCUAAUACGUUAGUGUUUUGACGUUACCGACAGAAUAAGCACCGGCUAACUCUGUGCCAGCAGCCGCGGUAAUACAGAGGGUGCAAGCGUUAAUCGGAAUUACUGGGCGUAAAGCGCGCGUAGGUGGUUUGUUAAGUUGGAUGUGAAAUCCCCGGGCUCAACCUGGGAACUGCAUUCAAAACUGACUGACUAGAGUAUGGUAGAGGGUGGUGGAAUUUCCUGUGUAGCGGUGAAAUGCGUAGAUAUAGGAAGGAACACCAGUGGCGAAGGCGACCACCUGGACUAAUACUGACACUGAGGUGCGAAAGCGUGGGGAGCAAACAGGAUUAGAUACCCCGGGUAAUCCAAAA